rnacentral:rRNA from 1 species
AUACGGAGGAUCCAAGCGUUAUCCGGAUUUAUUGGGUUUAAAGGGUGCGUAGGCGGCUUUUUAAGUCAGGGGUGAAAACUUGCGGCUCAACCGUAAGCUUGCCUUUGAUACUGAGGAGCUUGAAUACACUUGAGGUAGGCGGAAUGUGACAAGUAGCGGUGAAAUGCAUAGAUAUGUCACAGAACACCAAUUGCGAAGGCAGCUUACUAAAGUGUGAUUGACGCUGAGGCACGAAAGCGUGGGGAUCAAACAGGAUUAGAUACCCUGGUAGUCCACGCCCUAAACGAUGAAUACUCGAUGUUAGCGAUAUACAGUUAGCGUCUAAGCGAAAGCGUUAAGUAUUCCACCUGGGGAGUACGCCCGCAAGGGUGAA